CCACGCCCCCUUUUAUGCCUUUUGAAACGUUUAAUGUACAGUCUUUUGUGAGGUAUCACUGAACACAGCAGAGAGUUCCUUUUGAUUGGUCAUGGUUUGACCCGCCCCCUAUGAUUUAGCCACGCCCCUUGUCAUGACUAAUGACCCGUUUGAUGUAGACUACUUUGUGAGGUAUCAGUGAACUCAGCAGAGAGUUGCUUUUUCAUUGGUCAUGGUUUGGCCCGCCCCUUAAGCUUUAGCCACGCCCCCUUCAAAGCUAAUGAACUGUUUGACGUAGAGUCUCGUGUGAGAUAUCUUUGAACUCAGCAGAGAGUUCCCUU